rnacentral:rRNA from 1 species
CCUACGGGAGGCAGCAGUGGGGAAUAUUGGGCAAUGGACGCAAGUCUGACCCAGCAACGCCGCGUGAAGGAAGAAGGCUUUCGGGUUGUAAACUUCCUUUAAGGGGGAAGAGCAGAAGACGGUACCUCUUGAAUAAGCCACGGCUAACUACGUGCCAGCAGCGGCGGUCAUACGAAGGUGGCAAGUGUUGCACGGAAUUACUGGGUGUACAGGGCGUGUUGCCGGGGAGACAAGUCAGAUGGGAAAUCCACGGGCUCAACCCGGGAACAGCAGUUGAAACUGUUUCCCUUGAGUGUCGGAGAGGUAAGCGGAAUGCGUGGUGUAGCGGUGAAAUGCGUAGAUAUAAGGAAGAACACCAGUGGCGAAGGCAGAGUACUGGACGAUAACUGACGGUGAGGCGCGAAAGCGUGGGGAGCGAACAGGAUUAGAUACCCGGGUAGUC